rnacentral:rRNA from 1 species
GACGAACGCUUGCGGCGUGCUUAACACAUGCAAGUCGAACGAAGUGGCGGACGGGUGAGUAACGCGUAAUCAACCUGCCCUUCAGAGGGGGACAACAGUUGGAAACGACUGCUAAUACCGCAUACUGAAGGAGGGGCUUGCGUCUGAGUAGCUAGUUGGAGUGGUAACGGCCCACCAAGGCGAUGAUCAGUAGCCGGUCUGGGAGGAGGAACGGCAACAGUGGGACUGAGACACGGCCCAGACUCCUACGGGAGGCAGCAGUGGGGAAUUUUCCGCAAUGGACGAAAGUCUGACGGAGCAACGCCGCGUGAGUGAUGACGGCCUUCGGGUUGUAAAGCUCUGUUAAUCGGGACGCGGUACCGGAAUAGAAAGCCACGGCUAACUACGCGCCAGCAGCCGCGGUAAUUC